rnacentral:piRNA from 1 species
GUUCCUUUUGUAAAGUGAUAGAUGCGAGCAU